UACAAUCAACCGAUUAAAAUUGUGAAGUAAUACUUGGUGAUUUCUGAUUGGUUGUUGUGAAGUCAUAUUUGGUCAUUUCUGAUUGAUGUUGUGAUUGCAGGAGAAACGUAGACUGUACGAGGAACAGCAGCAUCGAAUGGAGCGUACACAAACGUCUUUCCUGGACAGCAUACGUGACGAGGUGGCAGAGUAAUGGUCACUUUAAGGAACAUUACCCAGCUAUAUUUGGGCCCACAGAGUUAGAACAAUAGGAAACAAUCCUCAAACAUGUUUGGGUCUACAGAUAUAUAACAAUAGGGAACGAUAUUCAAUGAUAUUUCGGCCUUCAUAUAUAUGAGCCUCGCUCUGGGAAAACAGGGCUUAAUGCACGUGCGGACAAUGUCGCCCCAGAUUAGCCAGACACUUUCCCCUUUUGUGGGGUUCUUCGUUAAAAGGAAGUCUCUGUUUGGCAAAAAUAUAGUUUAAGCAGAAGUCUCUUCUCUGAUUAGCCUGUGUGGAUUGCACAGUCUAAUUUGGCAAACUAUUUAGGCACAUGAAUUAAACCCCAUUUUCCAGAUACUUACCAAAUAAAUAGUGAUUGUAUACAACUUGAAAUUAAACAAUAAUAUUGUGACGUCGUCAGCGAAAAUCAGUCUUGUGUACGCUGACGUUUAUGUCGGGAAAUCGCGAGAUAAAAAUCUUGUACGAAAAUGCGCUGGAUAUUUCGUCUUUUUCAUACAAUUUAUCGGCUCAUAAUUUAUAACAUGCUUUGAAAAUUUCCACAAUAUAGCAUGAAUAUGUCCUUUAAACACUGGCACAAUUGGUGGUUUGUAAUCCGCUUAUUUGAUUAAAAUUAUUCCCCUUGAAAGACACUGUUUCGUUUGAGCAGUUCACAGGUAGCGCAACCUGUCUCGUAGUGUUCACUUUCAAUGGCUAUUAAACGCUGUAAAUCAAAAUGACAUCGUGUACUAAUGGAUGUCUUCAAUCGAAGAAGGUUCGGAAAUGAUAUUUCCACAUGCUUAAAAUAGGUUGGGAAGUUAUUUUUCAAGACCCUGAGGAAGUGUGAGGUGUAUGGAAUCAGCUGUGAAGGAUCUGGAAAGCAGCUGUUUUACCUCGCAGACGAAGGCCAGUCACAUGGUAAAGGUGCAAAUGCUGUGGUCAGCCAGGUUCACCACUACCUCAACACAUACGGUCUUGGCGAACAGCAUGCUCACUUUCAGCGUGACAACUUUUGCGGCCAAAAUAAAAACAACAUAGUCAUCUGGUACCUUCUGUGGAGAGUUCUUGUAGGUUUACACAGAAUCAUCACACUAAGCUUUAUGUUGAUAAGACAUACAAAGUUUACACCAGAUUGGCACUUUGGCAUCUUGAAGUUAAAGUGGAGAAACUUCAAUGCAGAAAUGUUGUCUGAUGUCGCUGCGUCUGUGGGGUUAUCGUCAAGUACGAGCCACAACAUCCGUCAGCUUGACGUUGUCCGUAGAGAAUUUCUAUAUAACUGGAGAAACGUAGACUGUACGAGGAACAGCAGCAUCGAAUGGAGCGUACACAAACGUCUUUCCUGGACAGCAUACGUGACGAGGUGGCAGAGUAAUGGUCACUUUAAGGAACAUUACCCAGCUAUAUUUGGGCCCACAGAGUUAGAACAAUAGGAAACAAUCCUCAAACAUGUUUGGGUCUACAGAUAUAUAACAAUAGGGAACGAUAUUCAAUGAUAUUUCGGCCUUCAUAUAUAUGAGCCUCGCUCUGGGAAAACAGGGCUUAAUGCACGUGCGGACAAUGUCGCCCCAGAUUAGCCAGACACUUUCCCCUUUUGUGGGGUUCUUCGUUAAAAGGAAGUCUCUGUUUGGCAAAAAUAUAGUUUAAGCAGAAGUCUCUUCUCUGAUUAGCCUGUGUGGAUUGCACAGUCUAAUUUGGCAAACUAUUUAGGCACAUGAAUUAAACCCCAUUUUCCAGAUACUUACCAAAUAAAUAGUGAUUGUAUACAACUUGAAAUUAAACAAUAAUAUUGUGACGUCGUCAGCGAAAAUCAGUCUUGUGUACGCUGACGUUUAUGUCGGGAAAUCGCGAGAUAAAAAUCUUGUACGAAAAUGCGCUGGAUAUUUCGUCUUUUUCAUACAAUUUAUCGGCUCAUAAUUUAUAACAUGCUUUGAAAAUUUCCACAAUAUAGCAUGAAUAUGUCCUUUAAACACUGGCACAAUUGGUGGUUUGUAAUCCGCUUAUUUGAUUAAAAUUAUUCCCCUUGAAAGACACUGUUUCGUUUGAGCAGUUCACAGGUAGCGCAACCUGUCUCGUAGUGUUCACUUUCAAUGGCUAUUAAACGCUGUAAAUCAAAAUGACAUCGUGUACUAAUGGAUGUCUUCAAUCGAAGAAGGUUCGGAAAUGAUAUUUCCACAUGCUUAAAAUAGGUUGGGAAGUUAUUUUUCAAGACCCUGAGGAAGUGUGAGGUGUAUGGAAUCAGCUGUGAAGGAUCUGGAAAGCAGCUGUUUUACCUCGCAGACGAAGGCCAGUCACAUGGUAAAGGUGCAAAUGCUGUGGUCAGCCAGGUUCACCACUACCUCAACACAUACGGUCUUGGCGAACAGCAUGCUCACUUUCAGCGUGACAACUUUUGCGGCCAAAAUAAAAACAACAUAGUCAUCUGGUACCUUCUGUGGAGAGUUCUUGUAGGUUUACACAGAAUCAUCACACUAAGCUUUAUGUUGAUAAGACAUACAAAGUUUACACCAGAUUGGCACUUUGGCAUCUUGAAGUUAAAGUGGAGAAACUUCAAUGCAGAAAUGUUGUCUGAUGUCGCUGCGUCUGUGGGGUUAUCGUCAAGUACGAGCCACAACAUCCGUCAGCUUGUGGGGGACUCUUCCAAUCCUGUUGUUAUCUAAGACAGGAAGGAUUACCUUACGACAUUGUUUCACCACAUAAAGAAUGUCCCCAAAUUUCAUCAAUUUCCAUGUGUCAGCGGAGCAUCCCGGUGUUGUGGAAUGCAGGGAAAUUAGUGACUCACCAGUAGUCAGAAUCACUCUCAGGAAGGUCUCGAAAGUGAAUGUUAAUGUGAGCUGUGACAACCUGCCAUAAGAAAUGUUUGUGAUAGGGCUUGAUCUGGACCAUCAGUGGUAUUUAUUUGAAAACAUUCGUGAAUUCUGUCGCAUAGAUGAACCAAAAACUUGACAUGUCCGAAACGCGCUUCUGGUGAGCAACAAAAAACAGACUAUGCCCCCCCAAAAAGAAGAUGCAUUAAGAUGCGCAUCUGAUCAUCUCUGAUAGUGCCACAACAAUUACAUACAUCAUGUAUCAGUGUUUAUUUUGGCCAAGGUAUUGGGUGAUAUAUUUUCCCCCAAAUAAUGCAAAAAAUCCUCUAUUCCUAGGAAAGCUAAAACCUGUAUACGAUUGCUAAAUGUGUCAGUUGAUACAGGUUUUGAAAUGUUAAAUGCAAACGUUUGUUGUUCGAAUUGCACAAGCUUGUUUUCAAGUUUUUUAUAUCUCAUAUUUACAAAACAAAAAUCAUUUUUUCCAUGUAACCAUGCAAUUGUUUUCACCUUAUGGACACAGACUGCCUUUCCGAAAAACUGGAAAAAAUUCAGUGUGAAUAUUGUAUUUAUUUAUGUUUUACAAUGAAAAUCCUAUAUUUUUGUUCGUUUGCUACAUUGUUUCCAUAGUAACAAAAACAAACAAUUUUUAUGGUUAAGUUAUUUUUUAUUUUGUCUAUUUUUCUCUAUCAGAAAUAAUGAUAAAUAAUGAUUAUUUCAUUUACUGAAACAUUUAGUAUCCAAGUGUACUUUCAACCAACACUUUUCAAUGCUGUUGAGUUUGAGGUUACAUUAUACUUAAAUACACAUGUAACUGAAUAAAACAAGGAAAUUGUUCAUGGAACACACAAAUUAUUGAUUGUUAUUGUUUAACUAGUUACAAAACAGUGAAAUUAAUGAUGUGUUUGCCUUUAAACAAACACUUGAUUGAAAAUACAAUUCAUAGAUUUAUAAAAGGCGUGAUUGUGCGCUCUGGUGAUUAUUAACAUGUAGAUCGGUUACCAUAGCAACACAAAUUGUACAUUUUAAAUGUCCAUAAUGCUGUUGUCAGUUUAUUGCACUAUAAUUAUGUAUUUGACUAAAGGAAAGAUUAUUGUUUUCAAAAAACAAUGUGCUUGUUGUUUGAAUGUUUUCGUUGUUUUUUUGUAUUAUAUGAUAACUUUUAGUGACGGUAAAAUGUAGGGUGGGUCACUUUGGAAGGUCAUAAAAUAAGUUUUGAAUGUGAUAAAUAAAAAAUCUAUAUCAUUUUUGUGAACUACAAUGUUCAGAGAAUCCAAAAUUGCCAAAAAGUCAAAAUGUGAUUUUUUGAACACAAGACUGAUUUUCCCAGCUUUGGUCAAUCAAUAAUAGGAUACAAUUUAUUUGAGCAAGCAUUGCACUAUUUGUAUGUUAAUAGCAUUGACUUGGUAGGAAAGUUUGAAUUUAGCCUAAGUUCAAUUGUUUUGGUCGUGCUGUAUAUUUCUAUUGCAAUUCACAUCAGGAGGAUAUGAAAUAGUGUGCACUUUCAUUUUAAGUAGGUUACAUUUAUUAAGUUUAGACAUUUUUAAUUUUAAAACAUCCAGGGUGAAGGAUAUUUACAUAUAUUGUAUAUUUAUGCUCCCCUUCAAAGAAGAGGGGGUAUAUUGUUUUGCUCAUGUCGGUCCGUCCGUCCGUAUGUACGUCCGUCAGUAUGUCCGUACACCAGAUGGUUUUUGGAUGAUAACUCAAGAACGCUUAGGCCUAGGAUCAUGAAACUUCACAGGUACAUUGAUCAUGACUCGCAGAUGAUUUUGAUUUCAGGUCACUAUAUCAAAAGUUAAAGGUCACGGUGACCCGAAAUAGUAAAAUGGUUUCCGGAUGAUAACUCAAGAACACUUAUGCCUAGGAUAAUAAAACUUCAUAAGUACAUUGAUCAUGACUCUCAGAUGACCUCUAUUGAUUGUCAGGUCACUAGGUCAAAGGUCAAGGUCACGGUGACCCAAAACAGUAAAAUGGUUUCCGGAUGAUAACUCAAGAUUGCUUACGCCUAGGAUCACGAAACUUCAUAGGUACAUUGAUCAUGACUUGCAGAUGACCCCUAUUGAAUUUCAGGUCACUAGGUCAAAGGUCAAGGUCGUGGUGACCCGAAACAGUAAAAUGGUUUACGGAUGAUAACUCAAGAACGCUUAUGCCUUAAAUCAUAAAACUUCAUAGGUACAUUGAUCAUGACUUGCAGAUGACCCCUAAUGAAUUUCAGGUCACUAGGUCAAGGUUAUGGUGACUCAACUUAGAAAAAUGGUUUCCGGAUGAUAACUCAAGAACGCUUACGCCUAGGAUCAUGAAACUUCAUAGGUACAUUGAUCAUGACUCGCAGAUGACCCCUAUUGACUUUCAGGUCACUAGGUCAAAGGUCAAGGUCACGGUGACUCGGACACUGUAAAAUGGUUUCCAGAUAAUAACUCAAGAAUGCUUACGCCUAGGAUCAUGAAACUUCAUAGGUACAUUGAUCAUGACUCGCAGAUGACCCCUAUUGAUUUUCAGGUCACAAGGUCAAAGUUCAAGGUCACGGUGACUCGACACAGUAACAUUGUUUCCAGAUGAUGUCUCAAGAAUACUCAUAGGCCUAGGGCCAUCAAACUUCAUAGGUACAUUGAUCAUGACUAGCAGAUGACCCCUAUUGAUUUUCAGGUCACUUGGUCAAAGGUCAAUGUCACAGUGACAAAAAACGUAUUCACACAAUGGCUGCCACUACAACUGAAAGUAUGCAUGUUUUACAAACAGCCCUUGUUUUAAUUGUUGUUCAAUAUUGGUGAUGUGUGUCUUAGAGCUGUAUACUGGUUUUUACCGUAGUAAGUGAAGCAUGUCUAUUGGCAUCUUUUUUUAAUUCUGCUACAAAAUGUAUGAUGACUUCACAUGUUACGUCAGUCUGGUUAGAGGAUGUUUCACAAGGCAAGUUGAUGAUGUUGAUCUACAUUUGAAACACAACCUACCUGGAUGCCGUAUGGUCUUUGUAUUGUUUUAGAAAAUGUCCAAAAUAUGAAUUGCGUUCUGAGAAAACUGGGCUAAAUGCAUGCGCGUAAAGUGUCGUCCCAGAUUAGCCUGUGCAGUCUGCACAGGCUAAUCAGAGGCAACACUUUCCGCUUUAAUGGUAUUUGUAGGUUCAAGGAAGUCCCACCUUACUGAAAAUCAAGUUUAGGCGGAAAGUGUCAUCCUUGAUUAGCCUGUGCAGAUUGCACAGGCUAAUCUGAGAUAACACUUUACACACAUGCCUUAAGCUCAGUUUUCUCAGAACAAGGUUCAUUUGAGCAAGUUGUAUGCAGAUUUAUUGAAAACUUAUUGGUUACAUUUGAUUGAUAACAAAUAGUUCCAUUUGAACAAUGUGUUAAUUUGCCAUUGAAUGUCUCAUAUGUACAAUGACUCUGUAUUUGGGUGUAAAUUAAUUGAACAGAUGCAGCAUUUAUUUCAGUAAUGCUUUGGUCGCAAAACUGAAUUUAUAAUACAUGUCCAAAUCCUGUUUAUCUCCAAACUUGAUGUUUUACAUGUUACCCAGUUGUUAACAUCAGGUACAGAGCAUUCAAAGAGAACAAAUCAUCAUGGCAGCAACACAAUUCAUAAUGACUUCGUAUUUUAUUCAGAUGUAGGUAAUGAAAUUAUAUGUAAUAAAUGAAAACAGUCCUGAUAAAUGUCCUGCAUUUACUGGUAUUUUAUUAAGGCAAAAAAAUGUUUAAAUAUCAAACUCUAUAUCGCUAUAUUAACUUCUGACAAAGAAUGUGCUACAACUAACCAAGAUUGUUCUGUUCAGUAACAUAUGUAUGUCAAAGUUUCUAUUUGGCAUACAAUGAUCUGAAUUCAACUAUUUUAAUUGUCAUGUUUGUGCGCUUUUAAUACAAAAAGUGAAAUCUACAUUGACUUACAUGUUUUAUGUAGUAUAUAGAUCUAGCCUCAAUGUUUUGUUUGUUGUUAUUGUUUGCACAGAUUCAGAGUGUCUGAAAUAUGAAGUAUUCGACCAAAGUCUGUUUGAAAAUUGUUUUCUGUCCUUAUAGCUUGGCUGUAAAGAAACUGUUUAGUGCAACUGUCUUAAAUUUUAUAGGCAAAUUUCUUCAUUGUAGAAGUUAAAAUGUAGUUGCAUUUUUAUCAAUCUGUGCACUUAUUGGCCUAUUGUCAUGUUCAUUGGCAGAUUUGUACAAAUACGAAUUAUGAAUUAGGAUGUAUUUAUUUUUUGGCCAUGUAUAAGAUGAACAUAGUUAAAUUUUGAAAUAGUCUAAAGCACAAUGUGGUACACACAUUUUAAGUGUAAGUUACUGUUAAUGAAAGUUGAUAACUGUUGAAGGCUGUAAAUCAGAAUUGUCCGAGGUCAAGUCUAGAUUGUAUCAUUCUGUUUUGCUUGUGGGGAGUAUAAUUGUUGGAUUUUCCAGACACUUAAGAAACACAUUUUGACUAAGUGUUGGUUGUUGCGGAAAUAACACACGGUUAAAUGUUCCAUGUGCAAGUAUAAAAUAAUGAGGGAAAUAGCCAGUGUGGAUUGAAAACAAAUGAGGCAUACACAUGGUUUUUACCCAAUUAACCAACACAUAGGCCUAAUUUUUCUGAUUCUACCCUUAUUCUACCACAAAUUUAUAUAAUUCAUCUCUUUACGAUAAGAAUAAUUGUAAUCUAUACUACGCAUUUUGGCAUGGAGAAAACGUGCAAGUGUGUUUCAAUGACGUUAACUAACCAAAACAAUUCAGAAUUAUGUUUGCUUCAUUCCUAAACAGUAAACGCUCAAAGUUAUGUCAUAGUUAUUGUAAAACACAGCUAAGUUAUUAUGCUUAUAAAUUCAAAUAAAUGCCAAAUUAACCAAACAUAAACAGUUUUGUAGACUUAAAUGUAACAAUAACACAACAUAUAUUGUUUAAGAGCACUGCAUUAUUUCAGAAAUCAUUGGUAUGUCCAAAAGUUGUCUAGUUAGCGCAUUUAGGAGCCUUAAUGUUUUUGAACAUUUUUUAUCAUUUCCUGAACUCCAUUCAAUACAUAAGGUUUCGGGUAAAGAUUUAUUCAGAAAAUAAUAUGCAGGUUGUGUUAGAAUCUUAAACUGUGAAAAUUGGUAGAAACAUAAUGCUAGUUUAUUGUGUUUUUUUAAGCUUUAAUUUUGUUAUAAGAGGUAUGAAUUUAUAUUUUCAUUUGAAAGUCACAUUUUAUUUUGUAAACAUCUUUCAAAGAAGUAUACGCAAAUGUUUUUUUUAUUGAUCUCUUUUUGUUGUAUACCCAGAUGUUAUUACCGGUAGCUCAUUGAUUUUCGUUUAGAUGUCUUAUGAGUUUUAAUGCUUUUACCUUCAGAUCUUGUAGUUGACUUGUUACAUUCUGCUAUUGAAUUUGUUGUUAUAUAAUUAUAAAUAUAUUAUUGUUUCACCUGACCUUUUAUAAUCCAUUAUAUAUAUUUUUUAACCAUUUUUUUAGAAAUAUGUUUUUAGAAAUCUGUGUUUUAUUAAAAUCUGCUCUAUUCAUUUUGUUUGUAUUA